GACGAACGCUGGCGGCGUGCUUAACACAUGCAAGUCGAACGGAAAGGCCCUGCUUUUGUGGGGUGCUCGAGUGGCGAACGGGUGAGUAACACGUGAGUAACCUGCCCUUGACUUUGGGAUAACUUCUGGAAACUGGGGCUAAUACCGGAUAGGAGCUCCUGCUGCAUGGUGGGGGUUGGAAAGUUUCGGCAGUUGGGGAUGGACUCGCGGCUUAUCAGCUUGAUGGGGGGGUAGUGGCUUACCAAGGCUUUGACGGGUAGCCGGCCUGAGAGGGUGACCGGGCACAAUGGGACUGAGAGACGGCCCAGAAUGCAACGGGAGGCAGUGGGGGGGAACAUUGCAGAGUGGGCGGAAGCGUGAGGCAGCAAUGCCGGGUGCGGGAUGACGGGCUUCGGGGUGUAAACCGCUUUCGCCUGUGACGAAGCGUGAGUGACGGUAAUUGGUAAAGAAGCACCGGCUAACUACGUG
rnacentral:rRNA from 1 species